rnacentral:rRNA from 1 species
GACGAACGCUGGCGGCGUGCUUAACACAUGCAAGUCGAACGAAGUGGCGAACGGGUGAGUAACGCGUAAUCAACCUGCCCUUCAGAGGGGGACAACAGUUUGAAACGACUGCUAAUACCGCAUACUGCAGGAGGGGAUUGCGUCUGAUUAGCUGGUUGGAGGGGUAACGGCCCACGAAGGCGAUGAUCAGUAGCCGGUCUGAUACGAUGAACGACAACAUUGGGACUGAGACACGGCCCAGACUCCUACGGGAGGGAGCAGUGGGGAAGCUUCCGAAAUGGACGAAAGUCUGACGGAGCAACGCAGCGUGAGUGAUGAGGGCAUUCGGGUUGUAAAGCUCUGUUAAGCGGGACGCGGUACCGGAAUAGAAAGCCACGGCUAACUACGUGCCAGCAGCCGCGGUAAUAC